rnacentral:tRNA from 1 species
GUUUAUGUAGUUUAAUUAAAACAUUUCAUUUUCAAUGAAAAAUUGGGGUUCAUCCUCCUUAAACA